GAUGAACGCUGGCGGCGUGCUUAACACAUGCAAGUCGAACGAAGCACUUUUCUUGCUUGCAAGAAAAGUGACUGAGUGGCGGACGGGUGAGUAACGCGUGGGCAACCUGCCUUACACUGGGGGAUAACAGUUGGAAACGACUGCUAAUACCGCAUAUGCACACAGUAUCACAUGAUACAGUGUGGAAAACUCCGGUGGUGUAAGAUGGGCCCGCGUCUGAUUAGCUAGUUGGUGAGGUAAUGGCUCACCAAGGCGACGAUCAGUAGCCGGCUUGAGAGAGUGAACGGCCACAUUGGGACUGAGACACGGCCCAAACUCCUACGGGAGGCAGCAGUGGGGAAUAUUGCACAAUGGGGGAAACCCUGAUGCAGCAACGCCGCGUGAGUGAAGAAGUAUUUCGGUAUGUAAAGCUCUAUCAGCAGGGAAGAUAAUGACGGUACCUGACUAAGAAGCCCCGGCUAACUACGUGCCAGCCGCCGCCGUAA
rnacentral:rRNA from 1 species